rnacentral:pre_miRNA from 1 species
CUUGUACUCCCUCCGUCCAAAAAUACUUGUCAUUGAAAUGGAUGUAUCUAGAUGUAUUUUAGUUCUAGACACAUCCAUUUUGAUGACAAGUAAUUCCGGACGGAGGGGGUACUUG